rnacentral:rRNA from 1 species
AACGCUAGCUACAGGCUUAACACAUGCAAGUCGAGGGGCAGCAGGAACUUAGCUUGCUAAGUUUGCUGGCGACCGGCGCACGGGUGAGUAACGCGUAUCCAACCUGCCCAUUACUCAGGGAUAGCCUUGCGAAAGUAAGAUUAAUACCUGAUGUCGUCAUAGAAUCGCAUGUUUCUUUGACUAAAGAAUUUUGGUAAUGGAUGGGGAUGCGUAACAUUAGGUAGUUGGUGAGGUAACGGCUCACCAAGCCUACGAUGUUUAGGGGUUCUGAGAGGAAGGUCCCCCACACUGGAACUGAGACACGGUCCAGACUCCUACGGGAGGCAGCAGUGAGGAAUAUUGGUCAAUGGACGGAAGUCUGAACCAGCCAAGUAGCGUGCAGGAUGACGGCCCUCUGGGUUGUAAACUGCUUUUAGUUGGGAAUAAAAAGAGGGACGUGUCCCUUAUUGUAUGUACCAUCAGAAAAAGGACCGGCUAAUUCCGUGCCAGCAGCCGCGGUAAUACGGAAGGUCCAGGCGUUAUCCGGAUUUAUUGGGUUUAAAGGGAGCGUAGGCGGAUUAUUAAGUCAGCUGUGAAAGUUUGCGGCUCAACCGUAAAAUUGCAGUUGAUACUGUUAGUCUUGAGUGUGCACAGGGAUGCUGGAAUUUGUGGUGUAGCGGUGAAAUGCUUAGAUAUCACGAAGAACUCCGAUUG